rnacentral:lncRNA from 1 species
AGAUGUGGAAGCCCACUAACCGGUUGCAGGCAGAUGGUCCCACGUUUUCUUUUCCCACGUCUGGGUUUGCUGCUUUGGGCUGCUCUUGGCGGUGCAUACUAGAUGGCUGUGGAUUGCUGCAGUUUACCAUUGGGAAGUUGCCUCUGGUCCUCUUCCUAAGAGAAGAAGAGGAUGAGUCAAAUAUGCCUAUAUCCAGAUUUCAAAGAGAAAGAGUCGAUCUGAUAUGUCAAAGUUAAGUUGGUGGCACCCGCCAUGUCCACUCAGCAUACACAAAACCAGAAGGAUGCUUAGAUCUGGGAGGUUGAAGAGACUAUUCUAUAGCCUCUGUAAUGAAAGGCUUACAUUCUUAAAAAUACCCAAGGAAGCCAGGCAUGGUGGUGUGUGCCUACAGAUCCAGCAUGCAGAAGGAUUGGGGGUUCAAAGCUGACCUCAGCUACACGGGAGACUUGAGGCCAUCCUAGGGCACAUGAGACCCUUGUCUCCAAAAUGAAGUGUUAGCAGCAUGACCUACUAUGUAACAGUGUUAAUUUGUAAUAGCUCCCUAGUAAAUUCCUGAAAGCAUACACUGGGUCACUUGUAGACAGUAUUGAAGAAAAAGAAAACAAUGUUACUAUUUUUUUAAAUGCUACUCUUGGUAUGUUGGCCACUUCUCUAUUACUGUUAUAAAAUAUCACAACCAGUGUAACUUAAAAAAAGAAAGUGUUUAACUGGGCUUAUGGUUUCCAGAAGGUUAGUGUCCAUGAUGUCUGAGUAAAGGUGUGGGAGCUGAGACAGCUCACUGAACAUCAAGGAACUUCUGAAACCCCAGAGUCUGCCAGCCAUCGACACACCUGAUGCUUCCCAAACAGUUCCACCAACUGGGAGCCAAGGAUUCAACAGCCCCGGGAAAGACCAAAGCACACACACAAAUCCCGGCACUCAGAAGGCAAGGCACAGUGUAUGUGUG